rnacentral:miRNA from 1 species
UUCCGAAGUUGGGUGUCUCGC